CCUACGGGAGGCAGCAGUGGGGAAUAUUGCACAAUGGAGGGAACUCUGAUGCAGCGACGCCGCGUGAGUGAAGAAGUACUUCGUUAUGUAAAGCUCUAUCAGCAGGGAAGAAAGUGACGGUACCUGACUAAGAAGCCCCGGCUAACUACGUGCAAGCAGCCGCGGUAAUACGUAGGGGGCAAGCGUUAUUCGGAUUUACUGGGUGUAAAGGGAGCGUAGACGGCAGCGCAAGUCUGGAGUGUAAUGCCGGGGCCCAACCCCGGAACUGCUCUGGAAACUGUGAAGCUGGAGUGCAGGAGAGGUAAGCGGAAUUCGUGGUGUAGCGGUGAAAUGCGUAGAUAUCAGGAGGAACACCGGCGGCGAAGGCGGCAUACUGGACUGUAACUGACGUUGAGGCACGAAGGCGUGGGGAGCAAACAGGAUUAGAUACCCCUGUAGUC
rnacentral:rRNA from 1 species